CGAACCCGUGUCCCCUGCAUCGGCAGGCGGCCUCUCAACCGCUGCGCCACCAGGGAAGCCCUGCCCUCUCCCUCUUAUGCCGUAAGCCGCAUGCCAGCUUCCUGGUCCCUGAAUGCUCAUCACAUCAUGAACUCUGCUGAAAACCACAGGGUUCUUCUCCACGGGCCUCCGUCUCAGCAGGACAAGCCCUGAACCCCAGCGUUGCCCUCCUGCCUGUCUCCCCCCCAACACAGAAAGCCCCCCAAGCUCACAGCCCCCACCCGUUCGUGUGCUCUGCUGGGACUGUCCACCGUUUCUCAGGGCUGUGCCACCCUUCAGGCACAGCCCCGGGCCCGAUGGAAAUGGGGAGGCACCGCAAGAGCCUGCCCUCAGCCCUGGUCGGCCUCGGCUGGGCCCAGCUGUCCUGCUGCCCGAGCCUGGCAGCACCAGCAGAAAAGCAGACGGCGGCCUCGAGGUGGGAGGUGGCACGACAGUGACAGGGACAGUAAAGGCACCGCAAGGAGGGCCGCCCUGCACUCCUCCUGUGGACGCACCCCUCCCCAGACGCCGGGGCCUGCACGCUGACCAGCGGAGCUGGACGCACAAGGGCCACGCUACCGUGUGGUCGUCGAUGCGCCGGAAGUCCAGGUACACCAGGUCGGGGAGGUAGGCACAGAUGAACGUCCUGUAGUCCUCGGCCUCGGCGACCGGGUUCCCCGAGAGGCUGAGCGUCCGCAGGUCCUUGAACCGCCGCAGGUAGAUGAUCUGGGGGAGAGGGGGGUCGCCUGGGUCCUCUCUCCGUCCUCUGCCCGCACUGGGCGGAGCCACGAGGGAGGAGCCAUGGGCUUUGCCCAGGACCCGUGGACCUGGGUCCCCAUCUCCUCUUCUUAAGGUGGGUGCAAGGAUGUGGUGCAUAGGUGUUGAGAGGACCAAAUGCCACAUGCUGUGAGGGCCUCCACCUGCUCCCGUAAUGCCCUGGCUGUGCCCAUCGCUGCUGCUCUCAGAACGGGCGGCCUUUUCCAACUGUAAAGUGCUAUGCAAGGCCCAGCGCUCGUAAAUUCAACGGAACCUGAUUCCCAGUUGGCCUGGACCAACUGGGUGGUAGCUAGUGGGAUGUCCACUGACGGCCGUUUAUUCUUCCUAUUGUUAGUAACCGGGGGAAGGUCAGCAAGAUGCCCGUACCUCAUCCGACAGCAACUCCUGUGCUUUCCUGAAGGAGCGUCUUUGUCAUUUGUUUAUUUGUUCAACAAAGAUCACUAAGCACCUACCAGGCCUCAGGUACGUGCCAGGCCUUAGGGACACAAUGGGAACAAAGCCCUUAUAGCAGGAGCUGGCACUCUAAGGCAGGGGACAAGAAUGUUUUAAAAGUAAGUAGAAUCAUUGCUGUUUGGUGUAAGUGCUAGAAGAACUCAACGGGGGAGGGGGUGGAGAGGGGGCCUUAGGGACCAUGACAGGGGGGGUUUCAGUUAGGACUGAGGCCUCUGAGGCCUGAGGGAGCAGCCAGGGAAGAGCAGGGGCCAGUGCAUUCCCAGAAGCAAAACCAGCACAAGCAAAGGCCCUGAGGCAGGAAAGAGCGUCCUGUACCAGGCACUCAGCAAGGCCAGGGGAGGGAACGGAGCAUCCACAGCAGGGCGGGGCGUGGCCUGAAAGCCAGUGUCCCCUCCACGCCCAGGCCUGGACCUGCGUCCAUUAGACUCUGCAGUGUCCGAGGGGCAGCAAGCCAGAGGGGAUCUGCUCGCUGUGGCCCUGGGUACUGGACCGACCCAGGCAGGAACAGCUCAAGACACUCAGAAAGGUUUUCACAAGCAAGAUUUGGGGCUAUUGGGUGUGCCCUUAAUCUGAAAAUUCCUGAAUAAGCAUCAUUUCCUGCAGAGCUCUCCUGUGCCCGGUCCUGUAGCAGCCGCUCAGCCCUAACUGACUCAGCCCUCACACCGGCCUGCCCCGCAGGCCACCGCUCUCCCGUACGGAUGGGCACGCAGGCCCCGGGUGCUGAGUCCCCGGCCCAAGGCCAGGCGGCCAGGAGCCCGUUAAACCUCAGCUCUCCACUUACACCUCCCUCAGCUGUCCUGUGUGCCCCCGCCCCGCAGGGCCGAGGGCAGCUGAGCAAUCAGGUCUUGAACACUGGCAAGAGGUGGGCUGGGUUUACCACCUCCCAGGGGCGUGCAGGGCAAACCUCCCAGACCACACGGCCUCUGGGGUCCGGCCCUCAAACACAGCUGUGGACAAGGAAGACUGCGGCCUGGACUGCUGGGUCACAGCCACAAGGAGCAUCAGCCCAGGGCGACGCUAAGGCCGGCUGAGCCGAGAGUGAGCACGAGCCAGAGGCCCCACGGCCGAGGGGGCCCCACCCCAGCAAAUGUCUGCUGAGUGAGUGCGGGGACAGGGAAGGAAAGAUCCCACCGGGGCAGGGGCACAAACGGACCCGCACGUGGGCUCUCGUGGCCUAGGCUGGUGUGUGAACAUCAUCCAGUCUGGAAUUCUGGCCUUUCUGGGACAAGGGGAAGGUCGGAGGCUCAGCCUGCGGCCCCCCCGCCCCCCGGCGCCCUCGCUCACGUUCAUCAUGUUGCCGAUCUGGUUGUUGCCCAGCGACAGCACCUGCAGCUUGACCAGCGCGUCCAGCGAGUCGAUCUUGGAGAUCCGGUUGUUGAACAGGCUCAGGUCCUCCAGGUUCACCAGCGUGUCCAGCCCCUCGAUGGCCUCAAUGUUGUUGAAGGACAGGUCUGGAGGACGGCUCCGGGUUAGGGUGACUGUCCUGAAUCCAACCCCCCCCCCCCCCCCCCUGGCUCUGCUGCCACCUUCCCGGCCCUGGACUCGGGCGAAGGCUCGCGUCUGUGCGGCCCUCGUUCUGGGAUGGAAGCUCCCUGGUGGGUCGGGGCAGCGCACCUUGGGGUGGGGGAGACCCGCGCGGGCCGGGCUGCCCCAAACUCCAGGCCCAGCCCCGGCUGAGACCUCCAGAGCCCCUCUAGUCCAAGUUUCUCAUCUUUGGGAAUAAAACUGCUUUUCUGCCACCACGGGUUUGGGGGUUUGGUUGGGGUUGGUGUCCUUGAACACCGUUGGCCCAGAGGCCCAAACUGGGAACUUUUCAAGAGAUUCAGCUAAAGCCCUCAUGUGUAAAGGGGACUCAGGAAGUCGGUUUGGCCUCCCUGGCACCUCAGGGGACGCUCACCCGGGACACUCUCCCUACGCCAGGCCCUCCCCGGGCGUUUCCUCGUUUGUCAUCGCCCCUAUCUUAGGGCUGAGGGAGCCAAGAUUCAAAGGGGCCUGGUGGUCACGUGCUCACGAUCAAGCACACGUAAGGAAGGUAGGGUGCAGAGGGCGGAGGGAACGUACAGAA